rnacentral:lncRNA from 1 species
CAUUGUGCUGCAUAAUAAACAGCACCACAUUACAAAACAAAUUUCUUUUUGAAGGAAGUUAAUAAGAAAGAAAUUAGACAUGAUGGAGAGAGCUACAAAGUGGAGGUUGAAAUUUUGGCCUGAAGUUGAGGUUUUCAUUUGUGCUUUCUUGCUGAAAUACCUUCAGGAGUAGGAACUUGGUCCCCUUUUGUACAAUGAACAUGGGCUGAUUAACUUAAGGCAGUGUUUAUGGACAUCAAUACCAUCGAUUAAAAAGUAAAAGUUCUGUCAAACAGUAGUUUGCUCUUCAUGACAGCAAACAGCCUGUUUGAUGUUUUUAUUGAAUCAAUUGAUUUUUUUUCACUGAAUUGAUUGGUUGUUUUACUGUCAUGUGGACACUUCUUAAAUCAACAUGUGCCUGUGUUUUUUGAAAAAGUCUGAAUUCAUGGAUGUGUCUAGAAUUUCAGGCUCACAGAACCUUAUGAAACCCAAAUUACAUCAGAAUAAUUAGCAUCAGCGCUGAGAAAAAAAAUCCUAGUCUUCUUGUAAGGGGACUAAUAUUACGACUACUAAUAUGAUUAUUACCCUCAUCUCUGCUGCUGCUAGUACCAUUAUUGAGCUGUCUUACUUGCGUGUCUUCUUUCAUCCUCAAAACUCUCUUAUAAGUCAAACAAAAGCUCUCUGA